rnacentral:rRNA from 1 species
UACGAGGGGGGCGAGCGUUGUUCGGAAUUAUUGGGCGUAAAGGGCGCGUAGGCGGUGCGGUAAGUCACCUGUGAAAACUCUGGGCUUAACUCAGAGCCUGCAGGCGAAACUGCCGUGCUGGAGUGUGGGAGAGGUGCGUGGAAUUCCCGGUGUGGCGGUGAAAUGCGUAGAUAUCGGGAGGAACACCUGUGGCGAAAGCGGCGCACUGGACCACAACUGACGCUGAGGCGCGAAAGCUAGGGGAGCAAACAGG